AUUAAACGCUGGCGGCAUGCCUUACACAUGCAAGUCGAACGGUAGCGCGGGGCAACCUGGCGACAAGUGGCGAACGGGUGAGUAAAGCAUCGGAACGUGCCCUGGAAUGGGGGAUAACGUAGCGAAAGUUACGCUAAUACCGCAUAUUCUGUGAGCAGGAAAGCAGGGGAUCGCAAGACCUUGCGUUCUGGGAGCGGCCGAUGUCGGAUUAGCUAGUUGGUGGGGUAAAAGCCUACCAAGGCGACGAUCCGUAGCGGGUCUGAGAGGAUGAUCCGCCACACUGGGACUGAGACACGGCCCAGACUCCUACGGGAGGCAGCAUGGGGAAUUUUGGACAAUGGGCGGAAGCCUGAUCCAGCCAUGCCGCGUGAGUGAAGAAGGCCUC
rnacentral:rRNA from 1 species